rnacentral:rRNA from 1 species
GAGUUUGAUCAUGGCUCAGGAUGAACGCUAGCGGCGGGCUUAAUACAUGCAAGUCGAGGGGUAGCAAUACACCGGCGUACGGGUGCGUAACGCGUAUGCAACCUACCUUUAUCUGGGGGAUAGCCCGGGGAAACCCGGAUUAAUACCGCAUAAGAAAAUAGAAUGGCAUCAUUCAGUUUUUAAAGAUUUAUUGGAUAAAGAUGGGCAUGCGUAGGAUUAGAUAGUUGGCGGGGUAAUGGCUCACCAAGUCUACGAUCCUUAGGGGCUCUGAGAGGAGAAUCCCCCACACUGGCACUGAGAUACGGGCCAGACUCCUACGGGAGGCAGCAGUAGGGAAUAUUGGGCAAUGGAUGCAAGUCUGACCCAGCCAUGCCGCGUGCCGGACGAAGGCCCUCAGGGUUGUAAACGGCUUUUAUUCGGGAAGAAGAGCAGGGAUGCGUCCUUGUGUGACGGUACCGAAUGAAUAAGCACCGGCUAACUCCGUGCCAGCAGCCGCGGUA